UACCCUCCUUGCUGGAGGUAGUUACAUUUCCAGGACACUGGAAGGCAUCUGGUUCACAGAGCCGGGUCCUCGCCUUUGCCUCUGCUCUUUUAGCAGUUCUGUGACCAACCUCAUCCGGGCCAGCUUCACUCAUUCUCAUUCCCAUCCCCGCCUCAUUUCCAAAUAUCCCCAGGGCUCGAAUUGUUCAGUGUUUCUGUCUACGUGGUGACCACUGCCUCCCCAGUAACGUCUCAGUCCUACAAACCUCUGUGUCAUCCAAAGGCGCCUCCAGCCAGAAGCGAGCUGGGGUCUUCCCAGCCUUACGGCCAGCGGCCCUCCUUAAGAUGGCCGCACCCAUGGUGCUCCAACGGCUCCUGGGCAUCGCCAUCUUCCCAUUUUUCCCAAAAGGCUGAAAACGCAAGCCGUUCCAUAUUGGCCUCAGAUAGGCUCUGGCCCCUGAAAAUUUACUCAGUACAGCGAUCUUGACUGAUGAGGCAGCUUCGGGCAACGUGGUGCCGUAAAGGGAUUACAGUUUCCUCUCACCACGCUGCGCCACAGCCGCCGAAAGGGCGGCUCCGUGAGGGCCGCUCCGUGGGCGUGGCCACGUUACGACACAGAGCCUAUAACUACCUGGUCCGCGCGUGCGGGCAGAUGGCGUCUCUAGCGACUUCCGGGCGGCAGCCACGCCGAAGGCGCGGGGUGGCACGUGGCUUACGAAGGGGGUUCAGCCCCUGGCAGCUGCCAGCAGAGUCCUGAGAAGCUUAGGAUUUGGCGAACCUGACCCCAGGCUUUGCUUCUCAGACUAAGAUGGAAAAUACUCACUGGACUCCAGGGUGAUGAGCUCAGUCAUGACAGCCGGUACAUGAGGGAGAGGGGCAGCCAGAGCGUCAGAUAAAGCGGAUUGUCAACCAAAAUCCUUAUACAUGAUGGAACUUCAGUACAUCUGUCCUACCAUCAUCAUCUGAUGAUUGAGUCACACGAAAAAAUCGUAAGUAGAUUCUAAAACAAUAUGAUCAAAAGUAAAAUUCUUUAGGACACCUCAAAGUAUUACUGCAGUGAGUACUUACUAAUUACAAAGGGGAAAUGCACUUCUAAAAUGGGUAAAUCUACAUGUGGAAUUAUGCACAAGUACAUGUAUCAACAUUAUCAGUGAUCCACAUUCCAUGAUAUGUGUGAUGGAGUACAUUGAACUCUUUAAAUGUAUGAACAGGUAGUGUUUCAGAAAAGAUAAUGAUUUCUAGAAUUUCAGGGAAUGAAAAUAUCUCUUCAUGGAUAACUGAAUGAAGAAAUAAAUUUAAUGGGCCAGCAAGUCCAGUAUCACAUUUAUGUAAACCCAUUGAACGAAGACAAGACUAUAUGUAUGGUGUGAAUAUAUAUUUAAUUUGUGUGCAAUUAGAGAUGCAAUAUCAGAUGUACACUAAAACUACACAAAAGGUGGAUAAACACAAAAGUACAGAAAAUGGUUACAUUUGGAAAUCAAGAGUAUUGGUGUGCAAUUAAUUAAUGUGAGUUUUACCUAACUUUGUUUAAGUAUUUUAUCAUUAACAGUGAACACAAUAGCUCCAGGUGAGUUCUGUGUUUUUUUAUAGAGAAUUACUGAAACUGAGGGUGGUUUGGGCAACUUUCAAACUGGCAGAUGGUCUCAGAAAAAAAGUGGUGGUCCUACAUAAACUGUGUUACCUCUUAUUUUUCAGUUGGCCUAAAAACAUGCACAAAAGGAGCAAAUGUUGUACAUAAAUUGUAAAUUUGUCUUUUGCAAAAUCCAGAUAACUUAUUUUGACCGUUAAAUUUUAUAUUUCUUUAUUAAUUUCAUAACCAAUGAGACAUCCUCAUUAUUUUUAGCAAAAAUAAGUGUAGAAAAUUCUGGUAACCAUUCAGUGCUGUUGAAUUGAAGUAGGAUUGGCUUAUGUGAUAGUUAAGAUAUGAUGGACUCUGUCAGUUAAACCAUUUGGUUCUAGCGUUUGUUUUUGUGAGAGAGUAUUAUGAAUAUCUCUC